UACAUUCAAAGUAAACACCACCCACCUCGGCAAAUUGCUCCAAAAUUUCCCUCUCCUCACCAAAUUUUUCAGAAAUUUUCUCUUUUUUCUCUCACAAAAUCAAAAACCCGGCUUAACUAUGUGUUGCGCCGUAAAAAAAAAAAGAAAAGAAAAAACCUAAACCCUAGAACCAAACCACCUGAUCUCUUCUAUUAUUCGAUCUAGCUACGCCUCCACCUUCUUCCUAAUCUGCGUUGCCCUGUUUACCUCUCUUCUUUUCUUCAUUGAUUUACCUUCAGGUAUCAUAGAAUACCCAACAAGUAAGCUGAUUAUCUAUUUAGCGGGGUUAUUCUGUACAUGGGGUGCAAAGAGAAUUAUCGUUGUGGGAUAAUCAGGAUAGCAUAGAUUUGAAAGAAGCUGUAUUGAAGAUGAUAUUGGAACUGACUGCAAAAGAAACUCAUCAUCUAGAGGAGGCUGUAAAGAAAGAAAAUGGUUAACUGGGGAAGCCUGAGAUUUUCCCAUCCUCCACCAAUGCUAAACAUUUGCCGAACCAAGGAUUACCAGCAAUUGGAUUCUCUGGAGAAUCAGAAGUGUAAUAAGAAAGUCUCAGCAAGUGGAUUCUUUGAUCAACGAAUUUUUGCAGUAACUAAUAAAAGAGGAAAAAACAAUGGUUUAAAAUCUCAAUGCCCCUGAAACAAUGGAUUACCAACCUGUUCAGCAGCACCAUGCUUACCUAUACGAGCAUACUAGCAAUAUUUCUAGAGAAAAAAGGUUUCCAAGGAAAACGGUUAGGAUUACACUUAUGAAGUAAAAGUGGAGGAGUUUCAAGUUGGUGUACAGGGUGUGGCAAUUGAAGCUGAAGACCAUGUUUGGUCUCUAGAUUAGAUUAGGGUGGACUAGAAUGGUGCAGAAUGACACAGUAACUGCUGUACUAAGAGCAUUAGUGAAGGAGGAUUCAACGUGAUAAAAGGAAAUCCUGAAUCUGUCUCUUUGUUAAUGCAUAUGGAGAAGGAAUUGAAAACAAGGUUGACCUGAAAACAUGAGAGUAUGAGUUUGGUAAACUGAAAGUCUCCUCACCAGGACACUUGGAGACACCUUUCCGAGGCCGGGAUUAACAAAUAAUUAGCCAAAAUCCCAACAUAAUGCACAGUACUACGAAAUUACGGAUUUGCUAUCAUUGGAGCAAGGGUGACUGUAUUGUCCUGUCAGUGUCUAAUAGGCACUUCACGUUGAUAAGCAUUAUUGUGUUUAGGUAACUAUUUCCUAACAUAAAGGGGAAUGGAUUUCAAAUGCAUUAUUGGGGAAUUCAACCUUUAUUCCUUCUCAUCGCUUUAUAUUGAUGAAGAUCAUUGUGUAUCGCUACAUGGAGGAUUGUCCCGAUGAUGACGACUCGGUAAGCAUUGAAAGAUUAGAUGUUGCAGCUGAUGAUGAAGUACUCGGAGAUAAAAAUGAGACUAAUUCAGAAAUGUUGUGUAAAAAACAAGCUUUCAAGGUAUCCUCAUAUAUUUUAGUACUUCUAUCUAUAUGCAUAAUAAAUUUAAAUGAUAAUCUCCAUAAGAUAGGAUAUCUUCCAAAUGUACAAACGCAUAAUAACUUGAAACUACAAAAAAACCUAACUUUUGAAAUUUGUAACUCACUCAGAAGCUCUCUUCCAAAUAUAUAUAGACUAUGAUAUUCUUGCGAAUACUAAAUGCUGGCCCUUACUGUAUUAAUGGAACUAUUUUGUUUUGUCUCUUGCGUAAAGAAUUUUUAUAGUUAUGACUGUUAUAACCGUCGCUGAGAGAAAUCGAUAUAAUUUCAGAACUCUUGUGAUUUCUGUUUUUAUUUUUAAUUCAAUUUUGGAAUCUUAUGGAAUGUAUGGGUAUUUUUACAUACAAUGUUGAUGUUCAGUAGAGAUCCGUUACCGUUAAUGUUACUCCUCUGGGUAUGUGGAAAUGUGCAACCACAGCACUUGAAAGCAGAUAGAUGAAUAACACGGUUGUAGCUAUGAUCAUUAUGCUGGUGGCCGCCAGGAGCUUACACCGUUUUCCAAUCAGUGUAGGCCGAUCAGUUAGCAAUUUCAGUAAAGCAGUAAUGUUAGGUGUUAUAUAUUCAACUGGAACAUGGUAUGAGUACGCUAACCGGUAGGGGAGAUACAUUUUCUAUCGGCAGCUUUGGAAAAGAAGUUCAUGAAGACAGCGAAGAUAUUUGUAAUGGUCAGGGAGUAUUGAUGGCAUACAUGUACUUCUAACUCCUUUAAAAUCCCAACUCCUUUAAAAUACUAAAGAGUGGAAAAACAUUGAUCAAUUUAUGGAUACUUAUGUAAGUCAUUAGUUUUUGUUGAUUAAUUUGAUUCAUCUUUAUUUGCCA